UUCUCCUUACUAGUAUUCAUUACACAGAUGCUUUGUCUACAAGGUGUGUUGUUGAUGUGAUCCCUCGUUCUAUGUAUUCAUUGGUGAUUCCUACGUGGAUGCAAAAGUUGGUUGCUAGUUAUGAAAAUCAUGGGAAAGCCUCUGAAUUAAUCAAGCAGUUGUUGUUGGAUAAGUAUGUAGUUGCUAGUUAUCAAGUGAAGAAUAGCAUUUUGUAUUAUAAAGAUAGAAUAUAUGUGGGACUUACUACCAAUUUGAGGUUGGUGUUAUUGGCAUCUUAUCAUAAUUCAGCAAUAGGGGGGCCAUUCAGGUGUCAAUGCUACUUAUUUGAAAUUAAAGAGAAUUUUCUUUUGGCCUGGCAUGCUUCAUGAUGUAAUGCAAUGGGUCAAUACUUGUGACACUUGUGCCACAGAUGUAAGGGAGAGCAUUGUGCUUAUCCAGGUUUAUUUGCAACCUCUGCCAAUUCCUUCUUAACCCUGGCACCAGGUGUCUGUGGAUUUUAUUGAGGGUUUACCUAAGUCUAAGGGAAAAGACACUAUUUUGGUAGUUGUUUGCAGAUUUGCGAAGUUUGG
rnacentral:misc_RNA from 1 species